rnacentral:rRNA from 1 species
GACGAACGCUGGCGGCGUGCUUAACACAUGCAAGUCGAACGGAAAGGCCCUGCUUUUGUGGGGUGCUCGAGUGGCGAACGGGUGAGUAACACGUGAGUAACCUGCCCUGGACUUUGGGAUAACUUCAGGAAACUGGGGCUAAUACCGGAUAGGAGCUCCUGCUGCAUGGUGGGGGUUGGAAAGUUUCGGCGGUUGGGGAUGGACUCGCGGCUUAUCAGCUUGUUGGUGGGGUAGUGGCUUACCAAGGCUUUGACGGGUAGCCGGCCUGAGAGGGUGACCGGCCACAUUGGGACUGAGAUACGGCCCAGACUCUUACGGGAGGCAGCAGUGGGGAAUAUUGCACAAUGGGCGGAAGCCUGAUGCAGCAACGCCGCGUGCGGGAUGACGGCCUUCGGGUUGUAAACCGCUUUCGCCUGUGACGAAGCGUGAGUGACGGUAAUGGGUAAAGAAGCACCGGCUAACUACGUG